CUGGCGGCGUGCCUAAUACAUGCAAGUCGAGCGCAGGAAGCUCACGGAACUCUUCGGAGGGAAGUGAAGGGAAUGAGCGGCGGACGGGUGAGUAACACGUAAGGAACCUGCCCUAAGGAUUGGGAUAACUCCGAGAAAUCGGAGCUAAUACCGAAUAGUUCUUCAGACCGCAUGGUCUGAUGAUGAAAGGCGCUUCGGCGUCACCUUGGGAUGGCCUUGCGGUGCAUUAGCUAGUUGGUGGGGUAAUGGCCCACCAAGGCGACGAUGCAUAGCCGACCUGAGAGGGUGAUCGGCCACACUGGGACUGAGACACGGCCCAGACUCCUACGGGAGGCAGCAGUAGGGAAUCUUCCACAAUGGACGAAAGUCUGAUGGAGCAACGCCGCGUGAGUGAUUGAAGGUUUUCGGAUCGUAAAACUCUGUUGUAAGGGAAGAACAAGUACGAGAGGCAAUGCUCGUACCUUGACGGUACCUUGCGAGAAAGCCACGGCUAACUACGUGCCAGCAGCAGC
rnacentral:rRNA from 1 species